CCAGACGAUCUCAGGUUGUCUCCUGACCU
rnacentral:piRNA from 1 species